rnacentral:lncRNA from 1 species
UCUCUUCAUCACUCCCUGAGAAACAUUUGGAAUCUACAUCAGGGAGGUGACUGUCAAGCCUACCACUGGUGCCAUCGUCUGGAGACAAGUGGGGGAGAAAAGGAGACACAGAUCCCCAUGCUACUGCAGUAUGUAAUGAUAAUGUCCAUCAUUGUUGAAUAUAGAAAGUUAAUUCACUAUUGAUUAUUUCACACUUGUUAUUUCUAAAUGAGUCUACUGAGGCAUAGCCAAACAAGGACAUACCUUGUUUGUUCUUUGACCAAAAGGACACAAAAUUAUCAUGCAUUCACUGAUGGCAGUAUCAUAGUGACAUCUCACAUUUGGAAUUGUUUUCUUCAAACAUAAUUUGCAGGUGGAGAAACUAGAGAGGAGAGUGCAGGUCGAAGACAAUGGUGUCAGGAAGACUUAGCAUGGUGAUAUUGGCAGUUUUUAGCACAUUUCUUUUUUCAAUGAGCAUCAGCAGGAAUCUUACAGAAGCCACUGAAUAAGAUGGUCAUUUGGUACUCUUAAACAUCUGCAGUGUAAAGUGAGAAAAAUUUUGAAAACUCGUUAUCCUGUAUCCUUCGAAAAUGGUGAUGGACUCACACUUUUGUAUUUAAUGCAGAUUUCCCGACCCCAAACCUCAUUUCAAAAUAUACUAUCUUGGCUAAUUAGCCUUGGUUGUCAAAUUAAUCCAAUAGACACUUCUCUCAGCAGGUUUGCAAAGGAACAUCAUAGCAGGAUUAACUAAGAAAAGAAGAUAUUCUCCCAGAGUGGGCAGCAUGUUAUACCUAUAGCCCAAAUAUAAGAAAGUUUGAGGUGAGGAUAAAAGC